CAUUGUAGGAGAUUCUGCAGGACCCGUGGCUUAAUAUUCUGUCCAAUACUGACCUGCCGAGUCCACCUAUGGAGCCAGAACAAGACCAUCUGGUUCCUCUUUCCACAGCUUGUCCAGUCAUAGGGGAAGAGCCUGAGAACAUCAGCAGGCAGGAGACACCAUCACCCCCUUGUAUGGACAACGUACUUACACCUGUGGCAAGUGACAUUUCUUGUCUGCCUCAACCAGAUUUAAUGCUGGAGGAGGAGCAUAACACCGUGAGCAGUAACAGCAGCUCACCUAUUACAGAUGUCCCCAG